GUUAUCUCGUUUUCGUUUAAAAUGUUUUCGUUAUUUCGUAUCGUGCGUGUGCGGUCGAAAUAAAUUCGGUUAUGACCAUAGACAUAUAAAACAUAUAAAAUAUAUUGUUUUAUAUGUCUAUGGUUAUGACUUAUGUUUCAUGUAUUUUUUCAAGUCAUUCACCUUAGUGUCACCGACAGUUCCAUAAGUUCGCGUGUUUUCAUUUGUGUAGGUGACACUGAGCUUUCGUUUCGUACUUAAGUCUGUCGUCGAGUCCAGUUCGUUAAAACCGUGUGACGGACCGGCUCGCUCUCCUGUUUUUUCGUCGUGUUGCUACGGUGCGGAGCUCCGUGCGGACUCAAAUUGCUCAUUCAUUGUCUGCAGUAGAAAACCACAUUGUCUGUGAUUUUCGUGAAUUGGUUGUUGGUAAAUAUCGUUCGAACAAUUUAUUGUCAACUUUUCUUAUUUUAUUUCCCCAAUUUUAGGAUGGUCAUUAUUGUUACCAACAAUCAUUAUGAGUCGUGGCUUUCAUAUUCGUCCAGUACUGCUGAGUGCACGUCUAUGCCUUUUGUGUAUUUGAAUUCGUCGUUGGUAGCUGUGGCCAGCUAAUCACGUACGUGACUGUCAUUUUUAUUGUAUUAAAUUAUUAUUGCUUCACCGGUGCGCACAUUAUCUGACAUAUCCACAUUCACUACCAGUCCAAUGAAAUCAACAACUACAAUAUCAUAAACAACAAUGCAAAUAACAACAACAAAACCCAUAACAACUAAAAGAUUUAAUAAGAAUAUUAUUGAAUACCGAAAGAGGCUUCCAUUUACAACAACUACAACGAAACCAGAACCCAAAACAAUAUUUGACUAUUUGUAAUUAUUCACAAAUUGUCGUUAUCGUCCAUAGAUGUAAUGUAUAUAUUUCUUUUAAUUAUAUUUUGUAUUUUUUUUUUCAAAUUUAAUGUUUUAAAAUAUUUUUUUAAGUCCAUUUGUUUGUAUUUAUAAUUUAUUUUCUGUGAUAGAGUUUAUUUCUAUGUAUUUAUUCAAUGCGUAAAAACAAUAAAUAACAUGGUCCUCAGUCAUAGGAAAGAUCACGGGAUUCAUAACGUUUUUUUG